UACAAGUCAAAAAAGUACUUUUUUUUUACGAAAAUGUGUUUUUUAUAUCACUCAAUAGCCAAGUGGAUUCCAUAUCUAUCUGCUAAAAGUAAAAAUGCAUGUUUUAUGGGACUAUUACUUGAACUUUUCCAAGGAAAAAAGACGUGCCUCAUCAAAAACUCCCGACAUGCAAAAAUGAAAUGCAUGCGGUGGAAUACGGCUUAGCAGGUCCGCACGAUCUUUAAGGAAUACUAUAUUGAGCCGACUGGUUAGAGUAUACACUUUGGAAAUAAGUUGUACAUGCUUAGGCUAUGUUAGACCCUUGUCCUCAAAGGUCAUACAGUCCGAUAAUUUAUCAGAG